rnacentral:tRNA from 1 species
GUUGGUAUAGCUUAGUGGUAGAGCACAUGCUUUGCAUGCAUGGGGUCCUGUGGGUUCAAUCCCCAGUACCUCCA